rnacentral:sRNA from 1 species
GUAUCACUGAAGAGACAUGUGUUGUCGAAAUGCGCAUCUGGUGC